AAUGCCUAGGAAAUUGCCUUGAUGUGGGGGAUAACCAUUGGAAACGAUGGCUAAUACCGCAUAAUGCCUACGGGCCAAAGAGGGGGACCUUCGGGCCUCUCGCGUCAAGAUAUGCCUAGGUGGGAUUAGCUAGUUGGUGAGGUAAUGGCUCACCAAGGCGACGAUCCCUAGCUGGUCUGAGAGGAUGAUCAGCCACACUGGAACUGAGACACGGUCCAG
rnacentral:rRNA from 1 species